CCUACGGGCGGCAGCAGUGAGGAAUAUUGGUCAAUGGACGAGAGUCUGAACCAGCCAAGUAGCGUGAGGGAAGACUGUCCUGCGGGUUGUAAACCUCUUUUAUAUGGGAAUAAAAUGUUCGACUUGUGGGAUGUUGUAUGUACCAUAUGAAUAAGGAUCGGCUAACUCCGUGCCAGCAGCCGCGGUAAUACGGAGGAUCCGAGCGUUAUCCGGAUUUAUUGGGUUUAAAGGGUGCGUAGGUGGCGUGUUAAGUCAGGUGUGAAAGUUUGCGGCUCAACCGUAAAAUUGCCGUUGAAACUGGCAGUCUUGAGUACAGUAGAGGUGGGCGGAAUUCGUGGUGUAGCGGUGAAAUGCUUAGAUAUCACGAAGAACUCCGAUUGCGAAGGCAGCUCACUGGACUGCAACUGACACUGAGGCUCGAAAGUGUGGGUAUCAAACAGGAUUAGAUACCCCUGUAGUC
rnacentral:rRNA from 1 species